rnacentral:rRNA from 1 species
GACGAACGCUGGCGGCGUGCUUAACACAUGCAAGUCGAACGAAGUGGCGAACGGGUGAGUAACGCGUAAUCAACCUGCCCUUCAGAGGGGGACAACAGUUGGAAACGACUGCUAAUACCGCAUACUGAAGGAGGGGAUUGCGUCUGAUUAGCUAGUUGGAGGGGAAACGGCCCACCAAGGCGAUGAUCAGUAGCCGGGCGGGGAGGGUGGACGGCCACAAUGGGACUGGGACAAGGGCCAGACUCCUACGGGAGGGAGCAGGGGGGAAUCUUUCGCAAUGGACGAAAGUCUGACGGAGCAACGCCGGGUGAAGGAUGACGGGCUUCGGGUUGUAAAGCUCUGUUAAUCGGGACGCGGUACCGGAAUAGAAAGCCACGGCUAACUACGUGCCAGCAGCCGCGGUAAUAC